AACGCUGGCGGCAGGCUUAACACAUGCAAGUCGAGCGGGGUGAUGGUGCUUGCACUAUCACUUAGCGGCGGACGGGUGAGUAAUGCUUAGGAAUCUGCCUAUUAGUGGGGGACAACAUUUCGAAAGGAAUGCUAAUACCGCAUACGUCCUACGGGAGAAAGCAGGGGAUCUUCGGACCUUGCGCUAAUAGAUGAGCCUAAGUCGGAUUAGCUAGUUGGUGGGGUAAAGGCCUACCAAGGCGACGAUCUGUAGCGGGUCUGAGAGGAUGAUCCGCCACACUGGGACUGAGACACGGCCCAGACUCCUACGGGAGGCAGCAGUGGGGAAUAUUGGACAAUGGGCGGAAGCCUGAUCCAGCCAUGCCGCGUGUGUGAAGAAGGCCUUAUGGUUGUAAAGCACUUUAAGCGAGGAGGAGGCUACUUUAGUUAAUACCUAGAGAUAGUGGACGUUACUCGCAGAAUAAGCACCGGCUAACUCUGUGCCAGCAGCCGCGGUAAUACAGAGGGUGCAAGCGUUAAUCGGAUUUACUGGGCGUAAAGCGCGCGUAGGCGGCUAAUUAAGUCAAAUGUGAAAUCCCCGAGCUUAACUUGGGAAUUGCAUUCGAUACUGGUUAGCUAGAGUGUGGGAGAGGAUGGUAGAAUUCCAGGUGUAGCGGUGAAAUGCGUAGAGAUCUGGAGGAAUACCGAUGGCGAAGGCAGCCAUCUGGCCUAACACUGACGCUGAGGUGCGAAAGCAUGGGGAGCAAACAGGAUUAGAUACCCUGGUAGUCCAUGCCGUAAACGAUGUCUACUAGCCGUUGGGGCCUUUGAGGCUUUAGUGGCGCA
rnacentral:rRNA from 1 species